GGCUAGGAAAGAAAGAUGUGAAAUCCCAGGGCUCAACCUUGGAACUGCAUUUUUAACUACCUAGCUAGAGUAUGUCAGAGGGGGGUAGAAUUCCACGUGUAGCAGUGAAAUGCGUAGAGAUGUGGAGGAAUACCGAUGGCGAAGGCAGCCCCCUGGGAUAAUACUGACGCUCAGGUACGAAAGCGUGGGGAGCAAACAGGAUUAGAUACCCUGGUAGUCCACGCCCUAAACGAUGUCAACUAGCUGUUGGGGCCGUUAGGCCUUAGUAGCGCAGCUAACGCGUGAAGUUGACCGCCUGGGGAGUACGGUCGCAAGAUUAAAACUCAAAGGAAUUGACGGGGACCCGCACAAGCGGUGGAUGAUGUGGAUUAAUUCGAUGCAACGCGAAAAACCUUACCUACGCUUGACAUGUCUGGAAUUCUGAAGAGAUUUAGAAGUGCCCGCAAGGGAACCGGAACACAGGUGCUGCAUGGCUGUCGUCAGCUCGUGUCGUGAGAUGUUGGGUUAAGUCCCGCAACGAGCGCAACCCUUGUCACUAGUUGCUACGCAAGAGCACUCUAGUGAGACUGCCGGUGACAAACCGGAGGAAGGUGGGGAUGACGUCAAGUCCUCAUGGCCCUUAUGGGUAGGGCUUCACACGUCAUACAAUGGUCGGGACAGAGGGUCGCCAACCCGCGAGGGGGAGCUAAUCUCAUAAACCCGAUCGUAGUCCGGAUCGCAGUCUGCAACUCGACUGCGUGAAGUCGGAAUCGCUAGUAAUCGCGGAUCAGAAUGCCGCGGUGAAUACGUUCCCGGGUCUUGUACACACCGCCCGUCACACCAUGGAAGUGGGUUCACCAGAAGUAGGUAGUCUAACCGUAAGGAGG
rnacentral:rRNA from 1 species